rnacentral:rRNA from 1 species
AGAAUCAACGCUGGCGGCGUGCCUAACACAUGCAAGUCGAACGAGAAAGUGGAGCAAUCCAUGAGUAAAGUGGCGCACGGGUGAGUAACACGUGACUAACCUACCCUUGAGUGGGGGAUAACCUGGGGAAACCUUGGCUAAUACCGCAUAACACCUACGGGUCAAAGGAGCAAUUCGCUUAAGGAGGGGGUCGCGGCAGAUUAGUUAGUUGGCGGGGUAAUGGCCCACCAAGACAGUGAUCUGUAUCCGGCCUGAGAGGGCGCACGGACACACUGGAACUGGAACACGGUCCAGACUCCUACGGGAGGCAGCAGUGGGGAAUUUUGCGCAAUGGGGGAAACCCUGACGCAGCAACGCCGCGUGGAGGAUGAAGUCCCUUGGGACGUAAACUCCUUUCGACCGGGACGAUUAUGACGGUACCGGAAGAAGAAGCCCCGGCUAACUUCGUGCCAGCAGCCGCGGUAAUACGAGGGGGGCGAGCGUUGUUCGGAAUUAUUGGGCGUAAAGGGUGCGUAGGCGGUUCGGUAAGUUUUGUGUGAAAUCUUCGGGCUUAACUCGAAGCCUGCACGAAAUACUGCCGGGCUUGAGUGUGGGAGAGGUGAGUGGAAUUUCCGGUGUAGCGGUGAAAUGCGUAGAUAUCGGAAGGAACACCUGUGGCGAAAGCGGCUCACUGGACCACAACUGACGCUGAUGCACGAAAGCUAGGGGAGCAAACAGGAUUAGAUACCCUGGUAGUCCUAGCCCUAAACGAUGAUCGCUUGGUGUGACGGGUACCCAAUCCCGCCGUGCCGAAGCUAACGCGUUAAGCGAUCCGCCUGGGGAGUACGGUCGCGAGACUGAAACUCAAAGGAAUUGACGGGGGCCCGCACAAGCGGUGGAACAUGUGGUUCAAUUCGACGCAACGCGAAGAACCUUACCUGGGCUUGAACCGCUACUGACCAACGGUAGAAAUAUCGUCUUCCCGCAAGGGACGGUAGUAGAGGUGCUGCAUGGCUGUCGUCAGCUCGUGCCGUGAGGUGUUGGGUUAAGUCCCGCAACGAGCGCAACCCCUACGAGUAGUUGCUACCCGCAAGGGAGCACUCUACUAGGACUGCUCCGGAUAACGGAGAGGAAGGUGGGGAUGACGUCAAGUCAGCACGGCCUUUAUGUCCAGGGCUACACACGUGUUACAAUGCGCGGCACAGACUGUUGCGAACCCGCGAGGGGGAGCUAAUCGGACAAAACCGCGCUCAGUUCGGAUUGCAGUCUGCAACUCGGCUGCAUGAAGCUGGAAUCGCUAGUAAUGGCGUAUCAGAUCGACGCCGUGAAUACGUUCCCGGGCCUUGUACACACCGCCCGUCACAUCACGAAAGUGAGCUGUACUAGAAGUCGCCCCGCCAACCGCAAGGAGGCAGGCGCCCAAGGUAUGGCCCAUGAUUGGGGUG